GUGUCAGCCGCCGCGGUAAGACGGAGGGUGCAAACGUUGUUCGGAAUCACUGGGCAUAAAGCGCACGUAGGCGGUCCGCUAAGUCAGUUGUGAAAUCCCUCGGCUCAACCGAGGAGCUGCACCUGAUACUGGCGGGCUCGAGAACGGUAGGGGUGAGUGGAACUCCAGGUGGAGCGGUGAAAUGCGUAGAUAUCUGGAGGAACACCGGUGGCGAAGGCGGCUCACUGGACCGUAUCUGACGCUGAGGUGCGAAAGCUAGGGUAGCAAACGGGAUUAGAUACCCGCGUAGUCC
rnacentral:rRNA from 1 species